CCUGCGUCCUGUUCUUUUGCUUCUUCUGCCUCAGUCCCUCAGCCUCCAACAUACGAGCACAUAUACUGAGUUGGCCGCAGCAUACAAUCCUCUCAACUCGGAAGCAUUUGUGAGCUCAUGUCAUCCUCACGCAGUUACACAGAUCUGCCAUAGUGUAAAUCAUUU